CCUACGGGUGGCUGCAGUGGGGAAUAUUGGACAAUGGGCGAAAGCCUGAUCCAGCCAUGCCGCGUGUGUGAAGAAGGCCUUCGGGUUGUAAAGCACUUUCAGUGGGGAAGAAAGCCUUGGGGCUAAUACCCUCGAGGAAGGACAUCACCCACAGAAGAAGCACCGGCUAACUCCGUGCCAGCAGCCGCGGUAAUACGGAGGGUGCGAGCGUUAAUCGGAAUUACUGUGCGUAAAGCGCGCGUAGGCGGUCUGAUAAGCCGGUUGUGAAAGCCCCGGGCUCAACCUGGGAACGGCAUCCGGAACUGUCAGGCUAGAGUGCAGGAGAGGAAGGUACAAUGCCCGGUGUAGCGGUGAAAUGCGUAGAGAUCGGGAGGAAUACCAGUGGCGAAGGCGGCCUUCUGGACUGACACUGACGCUGAGGUGCGAAAGCGUGGGUAGCAAACAGGAUUAGAUACCCGGGUAGUC
rnacentral:rRNA from 1 species